CCUACGGGUGGCAGCAGUAGGGAAUUUUCGUCAAUGGGCGCAAGCCUGAACGAGCAAUGCCGCGUGCACGAGGAAGGUCUUCGGAUCGUAAAGUUCUGUUGAAGGGGAAAAAGAGCGGCGAGAGGAAAUGCUUUCUGAUUGAUAUUACCCUUCGAGGAAGUCACGGCUAACUACGUGCCAGCAGCCGCGGUAAUACGUAGGUGGCGAGCGUUAUCCGGAUUUAUUGGGUGUAAGGGGUGCGUAGGCGGAAUGUCAAGUCAGCGGUAAAAUCGCGGGGCUCAACCUCGCUCCGCCGUUGACACUGGCGAUCUUGAGUGAGCUAGAAGUAUGCGGAAUGCGUGGUGUAGCGGUGAAAUGCAUAGAGAUCACGCAGAACUCCGAUGGCGAAGGCAGCAUACCGGCGCCCUACUGACGCUGAGGCACGAAAGCGUGGGUAGCGAACAGGAUUAGAUACCCGAGUAGUC
rnacentral:rRNA from 1 species